CGGAGCUGCUGCGUGGGGUUUGCUGGAGCCGUUUCUCCUCGCCUGGCUGCUGCUGUCUCUCGCGGGCUGCCUGGCGUUCCUCCUCUUCGCAGCUGCUGGCCGAGCGCAGCAGUCCCCGCUGCUGACACUGAUGGGAGGCGCGGGGAGGCGACAAGGAAGGCGAGAGGGGAAGGGAGAGGGGUCGCGAGAGAAGGAGAAAGGGAGGAUCGGAAACGAAGGAGAAGGAAGGAGAAGAAGAGGGAGAGAGGGCAGGAAGGGAGGAGCAGCGGCUGCUUGGGCGGCUUCCGUCCGGCUGUCUCCUCGCCGGAAAAAAUUGGAGAGGAG
rnacentral:misc_RNA from 1 species